CGCAGGCGGUUUCUCACGUCCGGGGUGAAAACCCAGAGCUCAACUCUGGGACUGCCUUGGAUACGGGGAAACUUGAGGAUCGGAGAGGCAAGGGGAAUUCCACGUGUAGCGGUGAAAUGCGUAGAGAUGUGGAGGAACACCUGUGGCGAAGGCGCCUUGCUGGCCGAUUUCUGACGCUGAGGCGCGAAAGCGUGGGGAGCAAACA
rnacentral:rRNA from 1 species